GACGAACGCUGGCGGCGUGCUUAACACAUGCAAGUCGAACGGCAAGGCCCUGCUAUUGUGGGGUGCUCGAGUGGCGAACGGGUGAGUAACACGUGAGUAACCUGCCCUUGACUUUGGGAUAACUUCAGGAAACUGGGGCUAAUAACGGAUAGGAGCUCCUGCUGCAUGGUGGGGGUUGGUAAGUUUCGGCGGUUGGGGAUGGACUCGCGGCUUAUCAGCUUGUUGGUGGGGUAGUGGCUUACCAAGGCUUUGACGGGUAGCCGGCCUGAGAGGGUGACCGGCCACAUUGGGACUGAGAUACGGCCCAGACUCCUACGGGAGGCAGCAGUGGGGAAUAUUGCACAAUGGGCGGAAGCCGGAUGCAGCAACGCCGCGUGCGGGAUGACGGCCUUCGGUUUGUAAACCGCUUUCGCCUGUGACGAAGCGUGAGUGACGGUAAUGGGUAAAGAAGCACCGGCUAACUACGUG
rnacentral:rRNA from 1 species